GUCUCCGGCCACUCCCGGCACCAGCCGCUUCGCCACCGGCUCCACCACCUCGAAGCUGUCGGCGUCUGUGGGGGAGAGGAGAGCGGGUCUCCUUUUUUCCUUAGGGAAGAAAAAGUGAGAAGCACACCCUUUUAAAGAUCCUUUACCCAUUCAAAGUAUUAAUGCACAAUUCAAACAGAGCAAAAGGCAAAGGCCGGGAAAACACCCCAACUGUUGACCACUAAACACCCGACUUUCCUUCAGCUGACUCAGAUGCUUCUUUUCCUUUUGUAAAAAGUGGUACUGAUGCAUUAAACACUUGUUGCUUUUCGGUCAGUCCAGAACUGCUGAGUUCUAUGAAUGUGGCUGUUUUAAAGUAUUCUGGGACCUGCGUUGUUAAUGUUUAACAGCAACAACGUCAAGAUCAGCAUCGUCCCAUUAAGGUACCCUGCCAGCACCCCUCUUAGCUUGCUGAGGGACUCCCAUGCGCGACCGUAGGAGCCUGUUGUGCCAUCUUGGAUGUCAUCUUCUGGAAGCAUCAUGCUUCUGUCGCAACACUGAAAUAAUUUCUAAUUGAUAGACACACUGGAAACCAGGCAAGAAGCAAGAGGCACAAAUCCAGACGUCCCAACUAGCAAGGGCUGAACACUGCUCUGCCUUCGGCUGCUUUCACUUCAGACGACUUUGGGAACAGGAUGAGGAAAAAUUCAUCCUCCAAUACUGAUAUCUGAACAUCUUUCACACUUGUCAGCAAAUAAUCAAAUUGUAAUAAUACAUGUUACUGUUGGAAGCCGGCACAGCCUCAUAAAGCUAGGUGAGAUGAUGCACGACCUGAUGAUCAAUGUCUUGUUGAGUAAAGAGGUGUAUCGCGACGUGACGGAACGCUUCUCCGGGGCUCCAGCGAAAGCGGUGGAUGGAGUUGGUGGGAGUCCCAGGCGGGGACACAGCUCCACUGCCGUAACCCACCCGCAGCGUGGGGGAGGCUUCUGGGCUGGCUGCGCUCGGCCGCCUUCCACAGUCCUGCUGGAAACGCAAGGAGUUUGUGGGAUGGUUACAUACAUGGCUGAGCGGGAGAGAGAAGACAAUAAAUAGUUGAAGCCUGAUGCCUGAAUGUUGCAGUCAGGUGUCUCCUAAUCCCCUAAGUAACAGGAUAAGCUUAUAGUAAAGGUAGGCUGUGACGUAGCCAUUUCCUAGCUUUUAGGUUUGUGACCAGCCAGGACAAAACAUGGGCAAAUGGUUGCGGUAGGGCUACCACCUGUAGCCUAGCAGCCAGAGGGCACGUUCACAGUUUAUCCACGUGGUGCUGCUUAGGGUGUGAUUUUUAGCUCAGAUCCCCGAGGGGUCGUGGCCUUGUGACCGUCAGAGCAGUAUCGGCGAGUCCUUUACUAAAAACCUGGAACGCAGUAGCUGAGCUUAACCAAACGGAGCAGAAGCGUAAAGAUCAGCUACAAGAAUUCAGUGCCCACCAACGCAGCACUCGGUCCUCAGACGGCAGACAGACAUGAGGGACGGAAAUGCUGUCGCCUGAGCCGUUGGCCAGCCCCAGGACACAACCCCAACCGCAAGUCAUUGCUCUUCUCCAACCUCGUCCCCACCGACCCCAGGGAAUGUUUUACUGAAACGCUCAGGCCCAUCCGGUCCCUUGCUCUGCCCACAGGAGCAAGGGGGAGAGCUCGGUGGCUCCAGCACUCCGAUUCGGUAAGAGGUGAGCAGACCUCUGCCAAAAACCUGGCGGUGGUUGAUGCUCCGUGCCGUCUGGGUGCUCCUGGUGGAGCGGGUUAGGGGCGGAGAACACCUUUGCCUCGGGAUUAAACGUCAAAGCCAUCACGCGCCUGGGCUCUACAGACCAGGCCCUUGCUGGCCUCCUCGGUGGCUUGUUUCCUUCCACCUUGUCAAAUAACACCAAAUACAUAAAAGCUGGAAAUGUUCACUUCAUCCAGUUUACGUCACUGCCACCUCCCAGCGCCGUGAUUUCUGUGAGAAUCUGAAUGAUUUAAGUGGAAAAGGAUGUAUUUUGCCUGAAUAAAUUUAGAAAAACGUGUGUCUUUCAAAUAACAAGCGGAAUGAUACACGAUGCUGUAUGUUAGCUAGAAAAAAAACAUUCCAUCCAAAUUUAUCCUUUUUUUGUUGUUACCCACUUACCAGACAAUAUAAAUAAUGACAGAGAUGUAACUAUAGACCAAAUAAGGCCCUAAGUUAGAUCCUCACAGAGUCUACCCAGAGUUUCACAAGCUCAGUGUGCCGGGAGGGCGAGCGUGAAAGUGCCAAGAGCUGUGCGAUGAUGGGGAACAUGGUAAAUAUAGAAAUACUACGUAUUUAAACAGCACAUUUAAAGUAAUUUAAACAUUUGGAUUAAAACAGUAAAGUAUUAUUCCCAUUGUAUAGAUGAGGAAAUGGUGGCACAAAGGAAAAAACCCCACUCAGCACAGCUCUGAGCCAGAGGAACCGCAGCCUUCUAGGGAACCAAACGGUUCUCGUUUUGGGGAAGUCUAAAGGUUUCUGCUUAGGAGGAGAAAGAAAUCAAAAUGAGAGAGAUGGAGCCUUGUGGUCAUUCUACAAAAGACGCCCACUGGAGUCUGUGUCACAUAUUGCACAUCAGACUCAAGCAAGACCAUCUUAGAAGAAUAAACCACAUCUAAUUUUUUUCCUUCUUUGACCUCCAGUAUCCUUAGCUUUGAAAUCACAUACACAGCAGUUCUUUUCCCUCCGCUUUAAAGGCUGAAAACUGCCAUGAGAAAUGCCUCACAGAGUCCUCAGUGAAGGAUAACAUCAGCUAAAAAUCAUGGAAACAGCAGCCAGAGCAUAAAUAUUUAAUAUAAAUCUGUAUGAUUCUAUAUACUAGAAAUGAUUGCAGAGAAACACAGAUUUGUAGAACACGAGUUCUCUUCCAACUGUAUUUUACAAGAUUCAGCUCAUCAGUACAAUGACAUUUUUGCAAGUAUAAAAAAAAAUAAAGCCAAACAGUAUUACAUUACACGGUCAAGACAACCAGAAGAGUGAUGUGCUUCACAAAAUCUGUACAAGUCAAUCCCUAGCAGACCAUCCUUGCUUGCUUCCAAACAAAAACGCUUGCUGCCAGUGCUUUGGGUUUAUUUUUUUAAAUUUUUUAAAUUUUUUUUUU